rnacentral:tRNA from 1 species
GCUAAAUUAGCUCAGCCGGUAGAGCAACUGAUUCGUAAUCAGUAGGUCGGGGGUUCGAUUCCCCCAUUUAGCUCCA